rnacentral:tRNA from 1 species
GACUCUAUAGAAGAAUUGGUUAAUUCGUCUGACUGUCUAUCAGAAGAUUAUGGGUUCGAGUCUCGUUAGAGUCA